ensembl:lncRNA novel transcript
GAAGGGAACUAAAUUAAUCUAGGAUGACCCAUAUUGUGCAGCAGCUAAUGACCCAGUUCACCUCUGGUUAAUUUUCUGCUUCUGGGUGUCCUGGGAACGGGUGGUGUUUACUCCAGUUGGGACAAACCUUUAUUAAUGAGCCAGAGUGUUGGCUGCUCUGGGCGGAGUGUUUUAAUAGAAAUCGGCCAAUGGGCCAGGGCGUGCUGAAGUUGCAGAAUAUGAAUGAGGCCCUUUUCUUUGCCCUCUCUCUCUUCCACCCUGAUUUGCAUAACUAAGCUUUCUGCCUUUUUAUCUUUUUAAUGUGUUUGUUUGUUGAUUAUUGAUCUGUCCCCUAUGGAGGGACAAAUCAUUCGCCCACCAGGCAGUGACCUAAAUUUGGCAGAAGCCCCAGCCAUGUCUGCAGCAAACUGGAGCCAGACAGUUAUACUUGUAUUUGUAGGGACAAUUCCAGGAGAAUUUAUAUGGCCCAAGGUUGUAAUGAUCAAAAUUACACUGGCCUCCAGCAGACUCAUUAAGGGGAAUCUUGGCAAAGGAAGACUUGAUGAGUAAGAAGAAAAGAAAAGAUCCUCUUUCAUGGAUUUGUUGGGUGGAAGAACAUGCAUAUGUUGAAGCUAGAGGCACUGGAGUGAUGGAUUCUGCCUAGGGCAAGACAGGACUUGAUUCUUGCUGGAGGAGCCAUCUGAGUUUGUGAAGGGCAAGGAGAGUGCAUGGGCCGAGAAAGGUGCUCCCAGGAGUGAUCCCUAAGGCAGCCAACAGUACCCCACUGUGCAGAUAAGAGAAAGAAACCGACGCAAAGGAAGUCUUCCUAACCAAAUUCCAUAGUGUAAAAAGCAAUGAUUUGGAAAUUGGAAGGCCUGGACUCUGACUUGGGGUCUGGAAUUCUCUCUCCAGGUGACCUUGGAAGCUGCAUGAAGACAGGGGUCUCAUCUGCCUUGGACAUCACUGAAUCCUAUGCACGGAGCACAAUGCCUGGAACGGGAGGAGCUCAAUGGUUACUGGUUGAAUUAAUACACUGAGGAAAU